UCUGAAGCUGCUGUCUGAGCUGAAGGUGAAGUUAAACCUGGUCUAACAUCAACAUCAGCUCAGACAGCAGCUUCAGAAAUUAAACUGGGUUUAUCUUCUGAAGCUGCUGUCUGAGCUGAAGGUGACGUUAGACCAGGUUUAUCUUCUGUAGCUGCUGUCUGCGUUUCUGG